rnacentral:piRNA from 1 species
UGGCAAGAGUAAGAGUGUCCACACCAAUGGU